CUCUUAUCCAGAGUGGUGGAGGGAUUGUGCCCGAUGAAACCCAGCAACCGUCGUUCAACGAAAUGGUGCUAAUUCACAGAAAGUCGUGUUACUUUCGGAGAUGAGAG
rnacentral:ncRNA from 1 species